rnacentral:rRNA from 1 species
CUACGGGGUGCUGCAGUCGAGAAUCUUUUGCAAUGCCCGCAAGGGUGACAAUGCGACGCCGCGUGAGCGAUGAAGGCCUUCGGGUUGUAAAGCUCUGUCAGCUCGGAUGAAAGCAGGGGAAUUAAUACCUCUUCUGUCUGACGGUACGAGCAGAGGAAGCCACGGCUAACUCCGUGCCAGCAGCCGCGGUAAUACGGAGGUGGCAAGCGUUGUUCGGAUUCACUGGGUGUAAAGGUCAUGUAGGCGUCUUACUAAGUCGGAUGUGAAAUCCCUUGGCUCAACCAAGGAACUGCAUUCGAUACUGGGAAGAUUGAGUACGGGAGAGGUAAGCGGAAUUCCGGAAGUAAGGGUGAAAUCUGUAGAUAUCCGGAAGAACACCAUUAGCGAAGGCGGCUUACUGGCCCGAUACUGACGCUGAAAUGAGAAAGCUAGGGGAGCGAACAGGAUUAGAUACCCCCGUAGUC